rnacentral:rRNA from 1 species
GAUGAACGCUGGCGGCGUGCCUAAUACAUGCAAGUCGAGCGAACGGACGAGAAGCUUGUUCUUCUGAGGUUAGCGGCGGACGGGUGAGUAACACGUGGAUAACCUACCUAUAAGACUGGGAUAACUUCGGGAAACCGGAGCUACUACCGGAUAAUAUUUUGAACCGCAUGGUUCAAGAGUGAAAGACGGUUUUGCUGUCACUUAUAGAUGGAUCCGCGCUGCAUUAGCUAGUUGGUAAGGUAACGGCUUACCAAGGCAACGAUGCGUAGCCGACCUGAGAGGGUGAUCGGCCACACUGGAACUGAGACACGGUCCAGACUCCUACGGGAGGCAGCAGUAGGGAAUCUUCCGCAAUGGGCGAAAGCCUGACGGAGCAACGCCGCGUGAGUGAUGAAGGUCUUCGGAUCGUAAAACUCUGUUAUUAGGGAAGAACAAAUGUGUAAGUAACUGUGCACGUCUUGACGGUACCUAAUCAGAAAGCCACGGCUAACUACGUG